UCACCUCAGGCCCAGCCACAUGCUGUGUCUAGCAGCUCGAGGCAGGACCUCUCACCAUCCCAAAUAAACCUUAUCUUCCAAGAGCAACCAACAGAGAUCUCGCCUGUAUUCACCCCAAAUCCGUCCGUGGAACCCCCCUCGAACGUCUUUACAGGCCAUGGCAAUAGAAACUGCUAACAUCCCUGACAUCUUUGCCCAGGCAAAGUUGUCACACGCAUUUUGCCAUCAAAAUGUACCUGCCCUUAUCAGAAUGUUCAAGCUCUCAAAAGAUCAAGCAAAAGCUAUUGUGGCCACAUGCCCGAACUGUCAAAACUACCAGAUAUCAUCUAUGGGGACAGGAGUCAAUCCCUGAGGCCUGAACAGCUGCCAGCUGUGGCAGACAGACAUAACUCACUUCCCACCUUUUGGAAGGUCAAAAUACGUGCACAUAUCAGUCAAUACGUUUUCUGCAGCAAUAUUUGCAUCAGCUCAUCCAGGAGAAGCUACACAGCACACCAUAAAGCACUUCUUCCUUGCAUUCGCUACUCUGGGAGUACCAAAACAAAUCAAAACAGACAAUGGACCUGCCUAUACCUCUCGAAAGUUGAGCCAGUUCUUCAGUGAAUGGGGAAUAGAACACAAGAAAGGCAUACCUGCAAAUCCCACAGGACAAUCAAUCGGAGUGUGGACACAUCAAACCCUCAAAAGAGUCCUCAAUCAGCAGCGAAGAGAAACAAAAAUAAUAUCUCUAGUAGAAAGACUUUGCAAGGCUUUCUAUGUCAUCAAUUUCCUAAAUUGUACAACAUCAGAGCCUGACCCCCCAAUACUUCGCCACUUUGCAAAUACCACCCAAGCAAAGCUCAUGGCGAAAACACCAGUCCUAGUGAAGGAUCCAGAAACACAUCAAAUUUCUGGGCCUUUCCAGUUGAUUACUUGGGGUAGAGGGUAUGCAUGUGUUCUACUACCAUCUGGUCCAAGAUGGUACCCAGGAAAAAACAAAAAACCAUACCUAGGCACUGUAAACACUACUCCCACAAACAGUGACAAUAAUUCCCCUGAGUCAAACAAACACAAGACCUCCUCAAAAUCAGACAAGUUCUGCCUGGAGACAAAGACGUCACCGAAUGUCCACAUACCGAAGAAAAGACCAUCCCAUCACACGACAGCAGACAAAACAGAAAGUGGAACAACAUUCUGCUGUAGCAGUCAAGCCAUAAGCCAGACACAGCCUGAACACAAAUUGUUCUCUGAAUAACAUGUUAUUGCCCCUUUAUUUACCCUAAAAAACCCUAUUGCUUCCCUUUCUUAACUCUUACCAAAAACCCCUAACCUUAUCCCCACCCCCCCAUCCUUAGGUUAUAGAAAAGAAAAAAAAAAAUUAAAAAAUGGGGGGGGGGGGGGAAGGAAAGAAGGGAAGGAACAGAAGGAACAAAGGAGAAAACCCUCUCCUCCCACCAUAAAAAUAACAAAUUUUGCUUAUAUUCCCUAUCAGAAGCCCCAUCCUUGUCAAAAGAAAAAAGAUUGCGGUGUCCCUAUUCCUACCAUAGGUAGCUGCAGCUAAAGCCCUUGGUGAAAUAAAUCACUUAGGGUGCUGGCUCAGUAAGCAAGUCAACACUACCUCUGCCGCCCUAAGCGAUCUUUUAAAGGAUAAAGAAACCACGAGACAUGCAUCACUUCAAAAUCGAGCAGCAAUCGAAUUCCUACUGCUAGCCCACGGACAUGGCUGCCAAGACUUUGAAGAGAUGUGUUGCUUCAAUCUCUCUUCACGCUCUGAAUCCAUCCAUGCAAACAUCCAGAAACUGAAGGAACUUGUGAAAGACUUAAAAGUAGAAAACAACCCAGACUGGGUCAAUGACCUUUUCGGUCAGUUGGGAUUAACAGGAUGGGUUGCAUCUUUGGUUAAGGGAAUUUUGUGAAUUUUCACUGAAAUUGUCAUUGUGUUAGCUAUGUUCUCAUGUCUUGUCCAUUGGUUUAAAAGAACUAUUGGGAAAGCCUUUUUACUAAAUGCAGAAAGUGGAGUUGUAGCAGCCAGAGACCUUGCAAGGCCUCCCUGGAGGUCACUUGCCUAAGAUAAGAAAUGCCUAGUCAUGAUGACUGGACCAAAGAAGCCCCUCUUCUACAUUGUUAUCUCUCUGUAAGACCAUAGGUCAUAUUCGCCUCGACCCUGGUCAUUGGACAAUUUCCAACACCCCUGUACCCUAUAUAAACACCCAUUUCUGCCCAGUUUGGCAGAAGAGCUGUCACUGUACCCCUCCACAGGAGCUGACAAUAAAGACACCGCUGUGGAACUGCAUACAACCUUCUCCUCUCUCUUCCUAUGCGUCUGCGAGGCCCUUAGUGAGCUAAAAUCACUAAGAGCUGAAUUCACCAAAGAGCUGAAAUCACUUCAGAGAUGCUCGCUAAGCUUACCUACGGCUGGGGAGCUAGCCUGAGGGACCUGGACAGGCUGUGCCUAUCAGCCCAGUGCUAUCCGGGAUACCUACGACUGCCUGGGGUCGGACGGACCCCUGGGACCCCAGGCCGCAUUAGACUUGCAGACCCAUGGAGGGAGGAGCCCAUGCUGGUGCAGGUUUCCUGGUAGGGCUUGUGACCCUGUGGGGGAUCCACACUGAAGAAGCUGUGACUGAAUGACUGCACCCCGCGCAGGAGUGACCCACAUUGCAGCAAUUUAGGGAGGACUGUUGCUCGUGGGAUGGACUCACACUGGAGAAGUUCAUGGAAAACUGUUUUCUGUGGUAGACACCCCACAUUGGAGCAAGAGAAGGACUCUUCUCCCUGAGCAGCAGUAGAAACAACUUGUGAUGAACUGAGUAUAAUACUCAUUCUGUCUCCCUGCGCUGCUUGGAGGGAGAAGGGUUAACGCUACCUCGGAGGAAGAAGAAUAGGAGCUUUCCUCAAAUGACCACCGGACAGCAGA